rnacentral:tRNA from 2 species
GCGCCCGUAGCUCAGCUGGAUAGAGUACUGCCCUCCGAAGGCAGGGGUCGCGCGUUCGAAUCGCGCCGGGCGCACCA